rnacentral:rRNA from 1 species
UACGAAGGGGGCUAGCGUUGUUCGGAUUUACUGGGCGUAAAGCGCACGUAGGCGGAUUGUUAAGUUAGAGGUGAAAUCCCGGGGCUCAACCCCGGAACUGCCUUCGAUACUGGGCAUCUAGAGUACGGGAGAGGUGUGUGGAACUCCGAGUGUAGAGGUGAAAUUCGUAGAUAUUCGGAAGAACACCAGUGGCGAAGGCGACACACUGGCCCGUUACUGACGCUGAGGCUCGAAAGCGUGGGGAGCAAACAGG